UACGUAGGUGGCAAGCGUUGUCCGGAUUUACUGGGCGUAAAGGGAGCGUAGGUGGAUAUUUAAGUGGGAUGUGAAAUACUCGGGCUUAACCUGGGUGCUGCAUUCCAAACUGGAUAUCUAGAGUGCAGGAGAGGAAAGUAGAAUUCCUAGUGUAGCGGUGAAAUGCGUAGAGAUUAGGAAGAAUACCAGCGGCGAAGGCGACUUUCUGGACUGUAACUGACACUGAGGCUCGAAAGCGUGGGGAGCAAACAGG
rnacentral:rRNA from 1 species